ensembl:lncRNA
CCUGAAGGAGAGCUGGACCCAGCGCGCGGGACCUUCAGCGACUGCCGGACGGAGAACGGGGUGUUUGGGGCGCACCCCGGCCCGCAAAGCGCCGGGGAGGACAACAAAGGGAAGCGUGGACGGAGGAAGAGCUUCGCGGUGCCGGGGAGUCGGGGCCCGAGGUCAGUUUCUCCAAGUUCUCGCCGAGAGCGGCGGCAGAUCGGGUCGCGGGAGCCCGGGGCGUACGGCUCUCACCCGCGACCCCAGUCCACGCCAACCUGCGCCAGCGGCGGCCAAGUUACUCGGCACCCCCCGGUUUCCCCGUGUGACGAAGGAUUCCUGGAGUCUCCGGGUUUCGCGCGCCCGCUGGGCCGGCUGCGCAUCCUUUGUCCAGCAGGCCUGGAGAGGCUCCUGGCGCCGGGGGCGCGCGGGCAGGAGGGGGCCCCGGGACGGCGGAGGGUGGCCGGGAAAGGGG